rnacentral:rRNA from 1 species
GGUGAUAUGAACCGUUAUAACCGGCGAUUUCCGAAUGGGGAAACCCAGUGUGAUUCGUCACACUAUCAUUAACUGAAUCCAUAGGUUAAUGAGGCGAACCGGGGGAACUGAAACAUCUAAGUACCCCGAGGAAAAGAAAUCAACCGAGAUUCCCCCAGUAGCGGCGAGCGAACGGGGAGGAGCCCAGAGCCUGAAUCAGUGUGUGUGUUAGUGGAAGCGUCUGGAAAGGCGCGCGAUACAGGGUGACAGCCCCGUACACAAAAAUGCACAUGCUGUGAGCUCGAUGAGUAGGGCGGGACACGUGGUAUCCUGUCUGAAUAUGGGGGGACCAUCCUCCAAGGCUAAAUACUCCUGACUGACCGAUAGUGAACCAGUACCGUGAGGGAAAGGCGAAAAGAACCCCGGAGAGGGGAGUGAAAUAGAACCUGAAACCGUAUGCGUACAAGCAGUGGGAGCCUACUUGUUAGGUGACUGCGUACCUUUUGUAUAAUGGGUCAGCGACUUAUAUUCAGUGGCAAGCUUAACCGUAUAGGGUAGGCGUAGCGAAAGCGAGUCUUAAUAGGGCGUUUAGUCGCUGGGUAUAGACCCGAAACCGGGCGAUCUAUCCAUGAGC